UGGGACAAGAUUUCCAGGUGCUCAGCCUUGA
rnacentral:piRNA from 1 species